GCGAAUAUAACUCAGCGGUAGAGUAUUAGGUUGUGGUUCUAGGAGUCGCAGGUUCAACUCCUGUUAUUCGCC